rnacentral:rRNA from 1 species
ACGCUGGCGGCAGGCCUAACACAUGCAAGUCGAGCGGUAGAGAGAAGCUUGCUUCUCUUGAGAGCGGCGGACGGGUGAGUAAUGCCUAGGAAUCUGCCUGGUAGUGGGGGAUAACGUUCGGAAACGGACGCUAAUACCGCAUACGUCCUACGGGAGAAAGCAGGGGACCUUCGGGCCUUGCGCUAUCAGAUGAGCCUAGGUCGGAUUAGCUAGUUGGUGGGGUAAUGGCUCACCAAGGCGACGAUCCGUGACUGGUCUGAGAGGAUGAUCAGUCACACUGGAACUGAGACACGGUCCAGACUCCUACGGGAGGCAGCAGUGGGGAAUAUUGGACAAUGGGCGAAAGCCUGAUCCAGCCAUGCCGCGUGUGUGAAGAAGGUCUUCGGAUUGUAAAGCACUUUAAGUUGGGAGGAAGGGUUGUAGAUUAAUACUCUGCAAUUUUGACGUUACCGACAGAAUAAGCACCGGCUAACUCUGUGCCAGCAGCCGCGGUAAUACAGAGGGUGCAAGCGUUAAUCGGAAUUACUGGGCGUAAAGCGCGCGUAGGUGGUUAGUUAAGUUGGAUGUGAAAUCCCCGGGCUCAACCUGGGAACUGCAUUCAAAACUGACUGACUAGAGUAUGGUAGAGGGUGGUGGAAUUUCCUGUGUAGCGGUGAAAUGCGUAGAUAUAGGAAGGAACACCAGUGGCGAAGGCGACCACCUGGACUGAUACUGACACUGAGGUGCGAAAGCGUGGGGAGCAAAC